UCUCCAGUUUCUCGAUCUCUUUGGUUGUACAAAGUGGUAUGGCACUUCUCAAUAGUCUGCUCAUACCGCUUUUCGGCUAAAGGAAUCGAGUCUUUGGUGUCAUUAAU
rnacentral:pre_miRNA from 14 species